CUAUGCUUCACUUUGGUGCACCUUCUCCUUUGUCUCUGCUCCUAACAACACUUUGCAGAAUUGGGAUUGAAGGAGCAAAAUCAAGAUGUCAUGGACGUCCUCUUUUAUUUCAAAUUCGUAAAAGCUUUCUUACUCUCUUUCUCUCUCCAUGUGGUGUGAGGUCAAAUAUUUGCUUUCUCUGUUCUAUUUUUAAAAUUUUAAAUACUGUAUCUAUAUGUUUUCUCUUUUCAAAUUUCCCUUUUAUCUUCAAUUUACCCUCUUUGUUUGUUUGUUUAUUAGUUUUUCAAGAGAUUGCUUUACAACUCUGUUUUAAUUUGUGCUAAGUAAUUUGUGUUAAUUUGGAAUUCUUACAAGUUAUGUGGGUUAAUUUACAACUCUGUGUGAAUUCUUUAAUUCUUAUGAGUUCCAAUUGGUAAAGCAUUGCUUUUUAGUUAUGAGGGAUAUAACAUUUUUGUUUCUUAGAAUGUACUGAAUUCCUUGGCAGAAGGAUUUGCUUGCGUGGCCCCCUACCCAUGAUUGGUUGCCUAAAAGAACUGUAUGUAUCAUGGCUUUGAGGUUGAUUAAAAUGCAAAGACAUUUAGUGGCCAUUUGCCAAUUAUUUAAUUAUAUGGGACAUUUGGAUCCUCUAAAAAGAGAUGCACUUAAUAAGGCUGUGUAGGACACUGCCCAUGAAGAUGUCUCUUCUAUUGUUUUGAGUUUUGUUAUUGCAUUUACAUAGCUGCCAAAUAUGUGUUGAUGGACUUAAUGGUUGUGUCUUUAAUUUAUUUAACAAGAGAUUUGAAAUACAGAUUAAUAACAAUUUAUAGAACUCAAUGUUUUAUGUUGAAUAAAUAUAUGAUGUACUCUUCUAUAUA